CUCACAUUAUCCCUGUGGUGUCAGCACAGUUACCGUCCCUGCUUUACACAUCGGGACGUUGAGGCUCAGACAGGUUAAAUGACUUGACUUCCCCAGAGUCAGUCUGGUCAUUUGGGUCUGACCUUGCUUCUUGAAGGACUGGCAAGAUGGGGGCCAGCAAAGGAUCUAAUGGAAAAAGGUUUCAUUAGUAUUUACCUAAUGUCAUCUUCCUGUUUGAGGACCCCAUCUGGGAUACCACAGCACAUUUGGUCAUGUCUCCUGAGGCUCCUCUUGGCUGAAUUCAGGAAAGAACUUGAGUUCUACUUUUGCAGUGAAGAACAGAGAACACCUGCAGAAGCUGAGAAUGAAAUGAGCCCACCAGGACUUAGCAACCGUCUUGCUGAGCUCACCUGAGAUAACAGAAUGAAAAUGGAAGGACAGCCAGAUUUCUCCUUUGCUCUCUGCUCAUUCUCUCUGAAG
rnacentral:lncRNA from 1 species